AGGUAAGUUAUUUAUUAAUAGCUUUUUUCAUUUAUAUGUAAAUAAAAAUUAAUACGACAGAAGGUUUAAAAAUUUGAUACAAUGUUCACCAUAAAUUAUUCAUUGUAAUAUUGUUCUUAGUGUUAAAUAAAAAAACAAAUACUGUGUGAAUUAGGAUACUAAUAUUUUCUAUUUUCUCUAAAAUUAAAAAAAACAAAAGUCAACAGAAUAUUAUAGUACCAUCAACUUUAAGUAUAAAUAUAUAUAUAUGUAUAUAUAUUUUUUUUGACAACUAGCUAAUGUUUAUUUUAUAUGAAUAAGAAUUAAUCAU